rnacentral:rRNA from 1 species
GACGAACGCUGGCGGCGUGCCUAACACAUGCAAGUCGAGCGGAGAUAAUAGCAAUAUUAUCUUAGCGGCGGACGGGUGAGUAACGCGUGGGCAACCUGCCUAUCACAGGGGGAUAACACAGGGAAACUUGUGCUAAUACCGCAUAACACAUCGAGGUAGCAUUACCUUGCUGUCAAAGGAGCAAUCCGGUGAUAGAUGGGCCCGCGUCCAAUUAGCUAGUUGGUGAUGUAACGGACCACCAAGGCGACGAUUGGUAGCCGAACUGAGAGGUUGAUCGGCCACAUUGGGACUGAGACACGGCCCAGACUCCUACGGGAGGCAGCAGUGGGGAAUAUUGCACAAUGGGGGAAACCCUGAUGCAGCAACGCCGCGUGAAGGAUGAAGGUUUUCGGAUUGUAAACUUCUUUAGUCAGGGACGAAUAAAUGACGGUACCUGAAGAAUAAGCCACGGCUAACUACGUGCCAGCCGCCGCCGUAA